CAGCACCUCAAGUGGUCAGGAUGAUUAUUGGGCCUAAAGCAUCCGUAGCCGGCGCUGUAAGUUUUCGGUUAAAUCUGUACGCUCAACGUACAGGCUGCCGGGAAUACUGCAGCGCUAGGGAGUGGGAGAGGUAGACGGUACUCGGUAGGAAGGGGUAAAAUCCUUUGAUCUAUUGAUGACCACCUGUGGCGAAGGCGGUCUACCAGAACACGUCCGACGGUGAGGGAUGAAAGAUGGGGGAGCAAACCGGAUUAGAGACCCGAGUAGUCC
rnacentral:rRNA from 1 species